UUUCUUACGAUCCCUUCGGGGUGACGAGUUAUUGACUGAGUGGCGGACGGGUGAGUAACGCGUGGGUAACCUACCUUGUACAGGGGGACAACAGUUGGAAACGACUGCUAAUACCGCAUAAGCGCACAGCAUCGCAUGAUGCAGUGUGAAAAGUUUUUUCGGUACAAGAUGGACCCGCGUCUGAUUAGCUAGUUGGUGAGGUAACGGCCCACCAAGGCGACGAUCAGUAGCCGACCUGAGAGGGUGACCGGCCACAUUGGGACUGAGACACGGCCCAAACUCCUACGGGAGGCAGCAGUGGGGAAUAUUGCACAAUGGGCGCAAGCCUGAUGCAGCGACGCCGCGUGAGCGAAGAAGUAUUUCGGUAUGUAAAGCUCUAUCAGCAGGGAAGAUAAUGACGGUACCUGACUAAGAAGCACCGGCUAAAUACGUGCCAGCAGCCGCGGUAAUACGUAUGGUGCAAGCGUUAUCCGGAUUUACUGGGUGUAAAGGGAGCGUAGGCGGUUUUACAAGUCUGAUGUGAAAGCCCGGGGCUCAACUCCGGUAUUGCAUUGGAAACUGUAGAACUAGAGUGUCGGAGGGGUAAGUGGAAUUCCUAGUGUAGCGGUGAAAUGCGUAGAUAUUAGGAGGAACACCAGUGGCGAAGGCGGCUUACUGGACGAUUACUGACGCUGAGGCUCGAAAGCGUGGGGAGCAAACAGGAUUAGAUACCCUGGUAGUCCACGCCGUAAACGAU
rnacentral:rRNA from 1 species